rnacentral:lncRNA from 1 species
CGAAUUCCAAUUUCAGAUUUGUGUUUACACACCUAGUUUCUAUUCACCAAGAAGGAAAACCCCGAGCCUUUGAAACCUAGAUUUGACCAAACAAUCACCAAUUAAUAACUUAUACCCUUACUCAAUCAAAAACACACGAGUUGACCAAGCGUUAACUAGCAACAACGUUCCCUUCAAUCGAGUAAAGAAGGAGGUUUCGCCC